GAUGAACGCUAGCUACAGGCUUAACACAUGCAAGUCGAGGGGAAACGAUAUUGGAAGCUUGCUUCCGAUAGGCGUCGACCGGCGCACGGGUGAGUAACGCGUAUCCAACCUGCCCACCACUUGGGAAUAACCUUGCGAAAGUAAGACUAAUGCCCAAUGAUAUCUCUAGAAGACAUCUGAAAGAGAUUAAAGGUUUAUCGGUGAUGGAUGGGGAUGCGUCUGAUUAGCUUGUUGGCGGGGUAACGGCCCACCAAGGCGACGAUCAGUAGGGGGUCUGAGAGGAAGGUGCCCCGCAGUGGAACUGAGACACGGUCCAAACUCCUACGGGAGGCAGCGGUGAGGAAUAUUGGUCAAUGGGCGAGAGCCUGAACCAGCCAAGUAGCGUGCAGGAUGACGGCCCUAUGGGUUGUAAACUGCUUUUAUAAGGGAAUAAAGUGAGCCUCGUGAGGCUUUUUGCAUGUACCUUAUGAAUAAGGACCGGCUAAUUCCGUGCCAGCCGCCGCCGUAA
rnacentral:rRNA from 1 species